UCUGGUGUCCUAGGCGUAGAGGAACCACACCAAUCCAUCCCGAAUUUGGUGGUUAAACUCUACUGCGGUGACGAUACGGUAGGGGAGGUCCUGCGGCAAAAUAGCUCGAUGCCAGAA
rnacentral:rRNA from 1 species